CAGUAGCCGCGGUAAUACGUAGGGGGCAAGCGUUAUCCGGAAUAACUGGGCGUAAAGGGUGCGCAGGUGGUUUAACAAGUUAGUGGUGAAAGGCAUAGGCUCAACCAAUGUAAGCCAUUAAAACUGUUUAACUUGAGUGCAGGAGAGGAAAGUGGAAUUCCUAGUGUAGCGGUGAAAUGCGUAGAUAUUAGGAGGAAUACCAGUGGCGAAGGCGACUUUCUGGACUGCAACUGACACUGAGGCACGAAAGCGUGGGGAGCAAACAGGAUUAGAUACCCCAGUAGUCCCUGUCUCUUAUACA
rnacentral:rRNA from 1 species